rnacentral:rRNA from 1 species
GACGAACGCUGGCGGCGUGCUUAACACAUGCAAGUCGAACGGAAAGGCCCUGCUUGUGUGGGGUGCUCGAGUGGCGAACGGGUGAGUAACACGUGAGUAACCUGCCCUUGACUUUGGGAUAACUUCAGGAAACUGGGGCUAAUACCGGAUAGGAGCUCCUGCUGCAUGGUGGGGGUUGGAAAGUUUCGGCGGUUGGGGAUGGACUCGCGGCUUAUCAGCUUGUUGGUGGGGUAGUGGCUUACCAAGGCUUUGACGGGUAGCCGGCCUGAGAGGGUGACCGGCCACAUUGGGACUGAGAUACGGCGCAGACUCCUACGGGAGGCAGCAGUGGGGAAUAUUGCACAAUGGGCGGAAGCCUGAUGCAGCAACGCCGCGUGCGGGAUGACGGCCUUCGGGUUGUAAACCGCUUUCGCCUGUGACGAAGCGUGAGUGACGGUAAUGGGUAAAGAAGCACCGGCUAACUACGUG